GUAAAACUUCUUUGUAUUUUUCGUACUUAUUUUUUUAAGUUUUGUUCCCCGCCAAGCCGGCAGAAUAAAAAUCCAAGCGCCACUAGCGCCGAGUACAUCUCACUCACGUUAAUUUUCAGAGCAUGUGUGUGAGUUGGUUAUCUCAACUCUGAACAUACUGGCCAAUGUCACAAAUGUAUAAGCCGAAGAAGCUACAGCUCCACCUUCAGCUUUAAUGGCCGCCUUCUCUCGCACGUCACUUGCUCUGAAGUUGCCAGUAAAUCUGCAGAGUCACCCAUCUCUUUCCACGCUCACUUUCCCACCACCCAAAUCAAGGAACUUCAACAUCAUAUGCUGUCUAUCCAUCCAUCAAACGAGUAAUCAGAAUGCUAAUAAUGCCAAAAACAGCGAUUUCCGUAUCUUAUUUGCCGCUGGUGGGACCGGAGGCCACAUCUACCCAGCCGUUGCCAUUGCGGACGAACUCAAAAUCAUAAACCCUAACGCCCAAAUCCUCUUUAUCGGAACACCAACCGGAAUGGAAAGCACCGCAAUCCCUUCCGCCGGCUACGACUUCGCCUCUGUCCCUGCUGCCCCUUUGGCCCGCCCACUCUUCUCACCCAGCAACCUCUUUAUCCUCCCCUACCGUCUCAUCAAAUCUGUCAUCAAAAGCUGGCACCAAUUGCGUGAUUUCGAUCCCCAAAUCGUCGUUGGGACCGGUGGCUACGUUUCAUUCCCAAUCUGCCUCGCUGCUGCCCUCAAAGGACUGAAACUCGUGAUCCAAGAGCAGAAUUCAGUACCAGGAAUUGCGAAUUGGGUGCUUUCAUUUUUCGCUGAUAUGGUUUUUGUUGCGUAUAAUUCAACGCUUGAGUCUUUCCCGAGAAGCAAUUGUGUGGUUUGUGGGAAUCCUGUUAGGUCAUCGCUGAGGCAGUAUGCGUCCAAGGCCGCGGCGAGGAUGCAUUUCUUUCCAAGGUUGGCCAAUACAGGGGACUCGGAGGCCAAGGUUGUGUUAGUUCUUGGAGGGUCUUUGGGGGCUAAUGCUAUCAAUAUUGCCCUCUUGAAUUUGUACCAUCAGUUGAUGUUGGAGCACAAGGACUUGUUCAUCAUUUGGCAGACUGGCGUAGAAGCAUUUGAUGAGAUGGAUAGCCUCGUCAAAAGACAUUCACGGUUGAUUCUUAUGCCGUUCUUGCAUUCCAUGAAUUUGGCAUAUCCAGCUGCAGACCUUGUCGUUUCAAGAGCUGGGGCGAUGACUUGCUACGAGAUCUUGGCCACUGGGAAACCUUCUAUUCUGAUACCAUCACCAAAUGUUGCUGAAGGACAUCAAUUCAGAAAUGCAUCUUUAAUGGCAGAUUUAGCAGGUUCAAGGGUUAUAACAGAAGAUGAACUGGAUUCGACUACCCUUGCAACUGCUAUUGAAGAAAUUAUAGGGAAUGAGAUUCUAAUGGCAGAGAUGUCUGAGAGGGCUCUCAUGGCUGCAAAGCCCAAUGCCUCUGCUGAGAUUGCGCAAUACAUUCUUUCUCUAGUCGAGUUAUCGGCUGCGAAGAUGUGAAUUAAGGUUGUGAAGGACUGAUUUUCAUUUUCAACACUAGACAAAAAUAUGUAGACGUUAAAAACAAAUCCCCACUACAAAAAGUCUGGGAUUAGCAGAUGACCGUGGAAGCACCGAUUGACAGAUAGUUCUUGAAUUGCUAAUUGUUCUUAUACAUAAUUAUUUUCAACGUAUAUUUCACGAGCCUUUCAUUCUGGCAAGGUAACAGAACAAUCUGGUUUUCUUUAUAUGCUUAUGUAUGUAUGUCAGUACGUGUAUAAUAUUUCUAUGAGUUGAAUCAACUUGUGAUGGUUCUGAUUUUUUUUGGCUCUA